rnacentral:lncRNA from 1 species
GAGUUAGGUGAAGAGGAGAACGAUGUCCAGGCAGGGGCCGGGGAAGCUCGUGCCAAGGCACUGAGGGGAAGUGCUGCAAUGAACCUCAGAGGCUGGAUCUUGCUGACUCAUCUGGGGUACCAAGGACAGACAAAGGACAUGGAGUCCAGGCCCAGGAGGCGAUACCAGGCCAGCAGUUUCACUGAUGCUCCUGUCAUGACGAUGACUGCCUCCCUCCUCCCCUUGGUCCCUGACUCAGUGUCUGCAGUGACCAGGCACCAGGCAGGGAGCAAGGAACCAAGCCUUUCACCUGCUCCCACCAACUCCUAUGGUGCUCCCUUUCCAAGGCUAGGUCUCCUCUCCACCCAGUUCCUUAUCACGUACCAUGAGAAGCUGUCACCUUGGCAACUGUCACCUUCUGGUGAGAUUUACAAUUGCACUGCUACAACUGCUUGUGGCAUGGUAAAGUUGCACCAGGACCUCUGCUGUCCAUGAGAUCAAAGUUCCAGGCCAAGGCACCAGGGGCACGAACAGUGUUGCCCGCAUGGAACUCACACUUAAUGGGAGCGGCAGCCAACAGGAUGAUACCCGGCAAAUUCUUCAAAGCAGUGUUCUCCAACUUGAAUGUUUGUGAUGUGGGCGAUUCUGACUGAGGGGGUCUGUAGACCACAUCUUGAUAAACAAUGCUUUUUAAAAAAUUCCUAGAAGAGAAUAUUUGAUUUCUGGAAGGAUAGAGAAGAAACUAAUAAGAGUGUUUACCUCCGAGGAGGAGGAGAAUUGGGAAGCUGAGAGCAGAGGAGGGAGGAAGACUUACUUUUCACCGUGUUCUUUUUUGUACCUUUUGAGUUUUGUACGACAUACUGAAUCUUUGACCCAUUUGCAAUUAUAAAUAAAGGCACAUUUAUUUGGCCGGGCGCGGUGGCUCAUGCCUGUAAUCCCAGCACUUUGGGAGGACGAGGUGGGUGGAUCACCUAAGGUCAGGAGUUAGUGACCAGCCUGGCCAACAUGGUGAAACCUCGCUCUACUAAAACACAAAAAUUAGCCAGAUGUGGUGGCAGGCACCUGUAAUCCCAGCUACUCAGAAGGCUGAGGCAGGAGAAUCGCUUGAACCUGGGAGGCAGAGGUUGCAGUGAGCUGAGAUCGCACGACUGCACUCCAGCCUGGGCAACAGAGUGAGACUCUGUCUCAAAAAAAAAAAAAAAAAAAAGAAAAAGAAAAUAAUUAGCCAGGCAUGGUGGCAGGCGCCUAUA